rnacentral:tRNA from 1 species
GGCGCAGUGGCGAAGUGGAAACGCUGGGGUCUGCAAAACCUCGAUGCAGGGGUUCGAUUCCCCUCUGCGCCU